ACCUUUAGCAGUUACCUCAGAACGUGAUUCUGUUGUUGAUUUUGUAACGCCCUACUUGGGAACAACUGGUUUACAAGUACUCAGAGUUCGCCAUACUCCAGCGGCGUUUAUAUUCUUAGACGUCUUUUCUUUAUCUGUUUGGCUGUCGUGUUUAGUGGUUUUACUUUUAACCAGCAUUCUAUUGUUCAUCUUUCAAAAAUAUACAGCCGAAAACAUCCACAGUGAUUCCUACUCAUCAAACAAGACAUGUUUUGGAGACGCAGUGUGGUUUGUUGUUUCUUCUCUAUGUUUUGAAGGUUGUGACAAUUCAUGGUUAAAUGGAUAUUCACGGAUCUUAAUAGCUGGAUUAUGGUUUUUCUCUUCAAUAUUUAUGGCCUGCUUCACAGCUAACAUGGCUGCCUUUCUGACAAAUCUUCGACUGGAAGAUGAUAGCAGUACGGUUUUAAAUGAACUCAAAAGUGAUGCGACUAAUUUUACGGUUGAAGCGGGUUCGUGGGAAAUGGAAUAUAUUAAAAAUCUUGCCGAGUACGAGCAAUACUUUUCAAAUAUUUGGAAAAAUUUUGUGACCGAAAAUAUAUAUAAUGUUACAAAUUAUACAGUAUGGUCAUUUCCACUGAACAUGAUGUUUACAGAUCUUCAAGGGAACAUAAAUCGAAAUCCAUUACCAUCUUCACUCGAUUCAGCGUUGACAUUUUUAAAUAAGGGAUAUGAAGUGAUUGUUGAUUCAUCUGUAGCUUCAUUUUUAACAAAUAAAAACUGCAGCCUAGAAAAAGUGUCGAAUCCAAUCGCUAUACAUCCUGUUGGACUUGCUAUCUCUAAAGGCUCCAAGUAUAGACAAAUCAUUUCAGAAAGGUUACUUUUUCUGCAGCAGACUCAAACAUUUGAUGUUCUUAAACGUAAAUGGUGGCAGGAAGACUCACCAUGUACUUCUCUAGAAGAAAACAAAGGUCUUUCUAUGAAAGAACUACAAAGUAGCUUCUAUGUUUUAAUAUUAGGAGUAGUUACAGCAUUUACCGUACUAAUAAUUGAAGUGCUAUUUAGAAAAAUUAAACGCCAGAAGUAUAACUUUUCAGUAAACAAGAGGGAAAACAGUGGAAAUUCCCAAACCGACCAUUUCAACGAUACCUCCUGUGAAAAUAAGGGCAUUGAUAUAGUAAC